GACGAACGCUGGCGGCGUGCCUAAUACAUGCCAGUAGAACGCUGAAGGAGGAGCUUGCUCUUCUGGAUGAGUUGCGAACGGGUGAGUAACGCGUAGGUAACCUGCCUGGUAGCGGGGGAUAACUAUUGGAAACGAUAGCUAAUACCGCAUAACAGUAGAUGUUGCAUGACAUUUACUUAAAAGGUGCAAUUGCAUCACUACCAGAUGGACCUGCGUUGUAUUAGCUAGUUGGUGGGGUAACGGCUCACCAAGGCGACGAUACAUAGCCGACCUGAGAGGGUGAUCGGCCACACUGGGACUGAGACACGGCCCAGACUCCUACGGGAGGCAGCAGUAGGGAAUCUUCGGCAAUGGACGGAAGUCUGACCGAGCAACGCCGCGUGAGUGAAGAAGGUUUUCGGAUCGUAAAGCUCUGUUGUGAGAGAAGAACGAGUGUGAGAGUGGAAAGUUCACACUGUGACGGUAUCUUACCAGAAAGGGACGGCUAACUACGUG
rnacentral:rRNA from 1 species